AACGAACGCUGGCGGCGUGGAUAAGACAUGCAAGUCGAACGGGACACUUUUAGUAGUAAUAUUAGAGAUGUUCAGUGGCGAACGGGUGCGUAGCACGUGGAUACAUUCCGGAAAGCGGGGGAUAGCCCAGGGAACCUUGGAUUAAUACCGCAUGUGGUCGCAAGACUAAAGACGGGGAUCGAAAGACCUGUCACUUUCCGAUAGGUCCGCGGCCUAUCAGCUAGUUGGCGGGGUAAAAGCCCACCAAGGCGACGACGGGUAGCUGGUCUUAGAGGACGACCAGCCACACUGGAACUGAGACACGGUCCAGACACCUACGGGUGGCAGCAGUCGAGAAUCUUUCACAAUGGGGGCAACCCUGAUGGAGCGACGCCGCGUGGAGGAUAAGGUCUUCGGAUUGUAAACUCCUGUCAUGCGAGAACAAGGUUGCAGGGCUAAUACCCGUGCAAAUUGAUGGUACCGCAAGAGGAAGAGACGGCUAACUCUGUGCCUGCAGCCGCGGUAACAC
rnacentral:rRNA from 1 species